rnacentral:tRNA from 1 species
UCCUCAGUAGCUCAGUGGUAGAGCGAUCGGCUGUUAACCGAUUGGUCGCAGGUUCAAAUCCUGCCUGGGGAGC